rnacentral:rRNA from 1 species
AAUAGUACCCCGGUAGUCCACGCCCUAAACGAUGUCUACUAGUUGUUGGUGGAGUAAAAUCCAUUAGUAACGCAGCUAACGCGUGAAGUAGACCGCCUGGGGAGUACGGUCGCAAGAUUAAAACUCAAAGGAAAUUGACGGGGGCCCGCACAAGCGGUGGAUUAUGUGGAUUAAUUCGAUGCAAUGCGAAAAACCUUACCUGGCCUUGACAUGCCACUAACGAAGCAGAGAUGCAUUAGGUGCCCGAAAGGGAAAGUGGACACAGGUGCUGCAUGGCUGUCGUCAGCUCGUGUCGUGAGAUGUUGGGUUAAGUCCCGCAACGAGCGCAACCCUUGCCAAUAAUUGCCAUCAUCCAGUUGGGCACUUUAUUGGGACUGCCGGUGACAAACCGGAGGAAGGUGGGGAUGACGUCAAGUCCUCAUGGCCCUUAUGGCCAGGGCUUCACACGUAAUACGAAUGGUCGGUACAGAGGGUAGCCGAAGCCGCGAGUGGAGCCAAUCCCGAGAAAGCCGAUCGUAGUCCGGAUUGCAGU